rnacentral:piRNA from 1 species
CAAUAUUUUGGACGUUGGAGAUCAC